ensembl:miRNA Mir568 microRNA 568
ACACUAUAUUAUGUAUAAAUGUAUACACACUUCUAUAUAUGUCCACAUAUAUGCGGUGUGUAUGUUAUACAGGUAUAGGUGCG